CUAUACCAUUUUCAAUUAUCUCAGAUUUUGGAGAAAUUUCAGAGGUGAUGGUGAGUUCCGGUGAAUCUUCUGUGAUCCCCUUCUCAUGCCUCUCUCGUUCUAGUCCUUCCUCUUCUUUUAUCAUCAAAUCUAGCUUCUUCGUCAUCGUAGACAUUACCUUCUGAAUUUCAAAUUUUAUUGUUUUCAGGUCUUCUUUAAAAACCUCUAAUUGACCAGUAAGCAGCUUAAACGGGGACCUCAUGUUUGUUCCCCUUUCCGGCCUCUUAACAGUGAUCGUAGUGGAAUUGGGGAUGGCCGUAUGGGCUUGGAGAUGGCAUGUUGUCUGGGGUGAGAAUUUGGGAGAUUUAUUUGUGUAAUUUGGGCUGCAUAAGAAAGGGUUAUAAUUGUAACUUAGGAGUGUGUUAGGCAGAAUAGGUUUUCUAGGUUUUGGGCCUGAAGUGUUGGAGAAAACAUUUGGGUUGCUGUUAUGAUUUUUAAUGGCAUAUGGGCCAGAAUUAGGUUGGGCCUUUCUUAGAUACUCUCUUUAGUCCACACACCUUUAGGAUAACAUCAUAUUUUGGCCCAAAACUUGAGGCAACAACUUGAUCUCAACCUUAUGGUCCUUAUCCCCCGAUUUCAGCCCAUAGUCCAACUUUUUCUCCGGUACGUUCUUUGGGAUUGCCGGAGAUGAUGACAGUAAGAUUGCAAUUGGUCUUCAAUUUUUUAUGACAGUGGGUUCAUUAUGUCGACUUCAGCUAUCUCUACUAUCCCAGAUUUCAUCAGAAUUGGAUGGAAAAUCAGAUGCGUAGGUAAUUCCCGGCGAUGAGGCGGCCCAUCCCUUCUCCUCCCUUUCCGACUCCAGCACAGAUUCCUUCUCCAUUUUCACCGCACCAGUCUUAACUUGCAACCAAGCUACCAAUAUCUCUGAAAUCGGCAUUUCGAACCCAUGAUCGCAUGUCUAUGUCCUUCUGAGUUUUUCUCUGCGGUUCCAAUUGUUUGCAUUUCUCCAAAUUUCAUCAGAUUGCAGUGGAGUUUCGGAGGUAAGAAUUGGUUGGGGGAAGUGGCUUUCACCCCUUUUUCUUCUUAAUCCCUUUGCUCCGCCAUCGAUGAUUUAUUCACCUCAACAAAUUUUUUUCACCGCCGGCUUUUGCUUAUUGAACAUACCCCUCUGUCCUCUUCCGAGUCUCAUGGGCUUGGAACUAUUUAUCAGAAUUCAUCGGUGACAAUUCUAUUGCCACGAUAUCUCCUUUUCUCUUACUCGACUAUUUACAUACCGAAAUUUCCUCAACCCUAGAGACCUCUUUCCUACAAAAUUUAACCAACACCAACACCAA
rnacentral:lncRNA from 1 species